CGGGCGACAUUUUUUUCCCCUAAGCUACUGCACACUAAACAGGAAGAGAGCUUUCCUCGCAGUCUUCUUCAAGCCCCCCUGGUUUUUGUACUCGUUGUUGGUGGGUGUCUUUUAAUUUUUUUUUUUUUUUUGAUUCCCUGGACAAUGGGUUAUGAUAUCAAUAUUCACUGAAGACAAAAAGCAGCCUUUUCUGCGUCUCGGUGGUAGGCAUACUCCUCAUCAUCCUUUCAAACUUGGGGUGGACGAGGGCUUGCUUGCUCUCUGUCUUUCAAGCCAGCUCAGUCACCAGCCCUGAGCUUGUCUCACUUGUGAGCGGCUGUGGUCAUGUCGUGAGAGAAGCUCACGUGGGGGCCGAGGUGCAUGCAGCUGCCGCCCGGACGUCCGUCUGACCCGCGUGGACGUCUGCAGAGUCCGUGAGCGCGAAAAUGAACCCAGAGGAGAACUGGUGAGAUCGCGUCCUCUCCGGACCCCGAUCGACAGAGGGAGAGAGUCAGACCCACAGAGCACCUGCCCGGCCGCUGAGUUCAGACCGACUGCACCUCGUGGAGGAGGAAAAAAUGUAGUUAUCGAAUCCAGUCAAGAGUCUGUGUCUCUGGAAUUAUCCACAACAUCCCAUCGGGGAAGGGUCCAGGUGGUCCACAGACGCAUGGCGAUCCAAGGGCCACGUAAAGGUAAGGAUCCGCGCCCGACUCCAGGCUCCGCGUGCAGACGUGUGUGUACUGCCUCAAC
rnacentral:lncRNA from 1 species